rnacentral:rRNA from 1 species
GCAAGUCGAGCGAAUCUUUGGGAGCUUGCUCCCGAAGGUUAGCGGCGGACGGGUGAGUAACACGUGGGCAACCUGCCUAUAAGACUGGGAUAACUUCGGGAAACCGGAGCUAAUACCGGAUAAUCCUUUUCCUCUCAUGAGGGAAAGCUGAAAGACGGUCUCGGCUGUCACUUAUAGAUGGGCCCGCGGCGCAUUAGCUAGUUGGUGAGGUAACGGCUCACCAAGGCGACGAUGCGUAGCCGACCUGAGAGGGUGAUCGGCCACACUGGGACUGAGACACGGCCCAGACUCCUACGGGAGGCAGCAGUAGGGAAUCUUCCGCAAUGGACGAAAGUCUGACGGAGCAACGCCGCGUGAACGAUGAAGGCUUUCGGGUCGUAAAGUUCUGUUGUUAGGGAAGA